rnacentral:rRNA from 1 species
UUUAAUUCGAUGCAACGCGAAGAACCUUACCUGGUCUUGACUCCACGGAAGUUUUCAGAGAUGAGAAUGUGCCUUCGGGAACCGUGAGACAGGUGCUGCAUGGCUGUCGUCAGCUCGUGUUGUGAAAUGUUGGGUUAAGUCCCGCAACGAGCGCAACCCUUAUCCUUUGUUGCCAGCGGUCCGGCCGGGAACUCAAAGGAGACUGCCAGUGAUAAACUGGAGGAAGGUGGGGAUGACGUCAAGUCAUCAUGGCCCUUACGACCAGGGCUACACACGUGCUACAAUGGCGCAUACAAAGAGAAGCGACCUCGCGAGAGCAAGCGGACCCCAUAAAGUGCGUCGUAGUCCGGAUUGGAGUCUGCAACUCGACUCCAUGAAGUCGGAAUCGCUAGUAAUCGUGGAUCAGAAUGCCA